ACACAGAGGAUAAAGGAUUUAUCAAGUAAGUGUUUUGUAGUCUUUGUAAUAUAACGUUUUUGAGAGUUUCAUAAUUUCUGAGGUCCCUAAAUGUUUGAACUUUAUGUACAGCAACUUUACGCAUAAUUACUCAACAGUCCUUGCAGGCUAUGUUGUAGUACAGUAUUGUGUCGUAGGCUGUGAACGACGUGCCAGAUCUCUGCUAUGUUGGAUAUUUGUAUAUCAGAAUUACUACUUUUAUUAGGUCUAUUUAUUGUUCAGUUGGUUAUUUGUUUGAGCACUGAAGCCUACCGGUACAUCAGUACUGCUGCCCUACGUACGAUACGGAGAAAAUUCGAAAGUGAAAGUAGAAAUUGUGUACAAGUUAACAAUAACCAUCUCGAAGUUGAAGUUAAACACGCAAUCUGGAAUUCGGUAUCGCAUCUGACUCGAACUUCUGAAAUGGAUCAAAUAGGACUUUGUCGUCGAGACUCGGAAGAACCCAGCUGCCUAAAUUAUAAUGCCAGUGGAACUCAAAACAGAAAAGAUACUUGUAUGCAAGACAUGGAGAAAAGAGCAGACUACAGCCUCUAUAUACCAUUCCGUGUCGCCUCCUUGAAUUGAUGUUUUUCAGGAUAACCAUGCAGGAAUAAAGUUUAUUUAAAAAAUAGUUUACUCAGUAUAAAGUCUUGCUGACAUGAACAUGAUAAUCACAAGAAAGUGAAUAUAUUUCAUCACCUUAAGCAAUCUUCAAAAUACCAGAUUGGAAAAAGAAAGAAGAUUUGUUGCAUUGUAUUGAAUGUGCCUGAUUAAAAGUAUUAAUGGAUGAAUUGGUGUUUUUCUAUUUUCUUCAGAAAAUUUGAAAUCAGAGGCAAUGCUCAGAAUUUUAGAGAUUUUGUUGAAAGAGCUGAUGGGUCCCUUUAUCCUUUUGGAUAUAUUCCAAUUGAAAAGAAAGUGACAUCAGGGAUGAAGUCAACAUGCAAGCCUAGCUUUCUGCAGUGCUACAAGGAAAAGUGCAAAACUGAUGAGCUUCUGGUGUACCUUUAGAGAAUUAAUUAUGAUUACAUGUAGUAUCAGUUAAGCUUCUGCUAUGAUGCAGGAACAUGUAUUUUUCUGGAAGAAUAGGAUGGAUGAUUCCAAAAAUAU